ACGUGGGUAGUCAAGUGGCCUAAGACGCCUCCCUGCUAAGGAGGUCCUCUCUGAGGGCACAGGUUCGAAUCCUGUUCCACGUG
rnacentral:tRNA from 1 species